CAGGGGUGCGCCCGUGUGCGUGCGUGCGUGCGUGCGGCGGGACCCGCGCCGCCGCCGUUCGGCCGCCGCGCUUCGGCCUUCUUCCUCAGCGGCUGCGAGCGUCGCCGCGGGGCAUGCUGGGAAGUGGAGUCCCGCGCGCCGGCUCCGACCCCGCCCCGCGGAGUGGGGGCGCGGGCCAAGCUGCGUGCGUGCGCGUGCUGAGAGCGUGUGUGCAUGCGCGGCCGCGCGGGGCGCGUGCGCGACCGGGAGCUCUGGGCUAGGCACUGCGGGACGCAGGCGCGGCUGCGGCUUCCUUGUUCGGUCUCGAGUGGGGGCCGGCGGACGCGGGUGGAGUUAGCUCCGGAUGUUGGCCACGCUCUCACGUCGCCAGACCGCAGGAGGCGGGGGCCCUACGUUCAGCUCCCUCACCUCAGCUGCUCCAGCUGCCCCAGAAGAUACCGACGGUCAGAGAGGCUGAAUCACCGGCCCAAGGAAGGAGCUGCGGGCUGCUCUGGAAGGGGGCUUGGAAGCUUUCUGUUCAGGGCCACACAGUAAAUGUUUUCGGCUCUGAAGGUCCGUGGCAAUGACUCUGUGCUGUUAUAAUCGGAAAGCACCAGAGUUUAUAUGGAAACGAAUAGCUGUGACUAUCAACUUUUUUUUUUUUUGACUAUCAACUUUAUUUACAGCCACACCAAUGUGACUGUCAUAUAAUUUCCAUGUGUCUCAAAAUACUUUGAUUUUCAUUCAACCAUUUAAAGAUGUAAAAAAAACAUUCUUAGCUCACGUACAUCCUUGCCUGCUUAGUCACUCAGUUAUAUUUGACUCUUUAUGAUCCCAUGGACUGUACCCCACCAGGCUCCUCUGUCCAUGGGAUUUCCCAGGCAAGACUACUGGAGUGGGUUGCCAUUCCCUUCUCUAGAGGAUCUUCCCCAUCAGGGAUCAAACCUGCAUCUCCUGUGUCUCCUGCAUUGGCAGGCAGAUUCUUUAUCUACUGAUGCUAUAACAAAACCACAGAAAGGGGAUGUGACCCGCAGGCCAGAGUUUGCCAACUCUAUAACGUUGGACUCUUUUGUUCAACUGUGUCACCUUUCUAAUCAGAAAAUAAAUAUUUUCCUUCUUUUAAAACAUCUUUGAAGACUGCAGUCUGGAGUCAGGUACACACCUGUUCCCAUCCUCUCUGCCACUGAUUCACUGUGUGUCCCUGAGAAAGUCAC
rnacentral:lncRNA from 1 species